rnacentral:rRNA from 1 species
CUUCGGGGUGUGACUGCGUACCUUUUGUAUAAUGGGUCAGCGACUUAUAUUCUGUAGCAAGGUUAACCGUAUAGGGGAGCCGUAGGGAAACCGAGUCUUAACCGGGCGUUAAGUUGCAGGGUAUAGACCCGAAACCCGGUGAUCUAGCCAUGGGCAGGUUGAAGGUUGGGUAACACUAACUGGAGGACCGAACCGACUAAUGUUGAAAAAUUAGCGGAUGACCUGUGGCUGGGGGUGAAAGGCCAAUCAAACCGGGAGAUAGCUGGUUCUCCCCGAAAGCUAUUUAGGUAGCGCCUCGUGAAUUCAUCUCCGGGGGUAGAGCACUGUUUCGGCUAGGGGGCCAUCCCGGCUUACCAACCCGAUGCAAACUGCGAAUACCGGAGAAUGUUAUCACGGGAGACACACGGCGGGUGCUAACGUCCGUCGUGAAGAGGGAAACAACCCAGACCGCCAGCUAAGGUCCCAAAGUCAUGGUUAAGUGGGAAACGAUGUGGGAAGGCCCAGACAGCCAGGAUGUUGGCUUAGAAGCAGCCAUCAUUUAAAGAAAGCGUAAUAGCUCACUGGUCGAGUCGGCCUGCGCGGAAGAUGUAACGGGGCUAAACCAUGCACCGAAGCUGCGGCAGCGACACUGUGUGUUGUUGGGUAGGGGAGCGUUCUGUAAGCCUGUGAAGGUGGCCUGUGAGGGUUGCUGGAGGUAUCAGAAGUGCGAAUGCUGACAUAAGUAACGAUAAAGCGGGUGAAAAGCCCGCUCGCCGGAAGACCAAGGGUUCCUGUCCAACGUUAAUCGGGGCAGGGUGAGUCGACCCCUAAGGCGAGGCCGAAAGGCGUAGUCGAUGGGAAACGGGUUAAUAUUCCCGUACUUGGUGUUACUGCGAAGGGGGGACGGAGAAGGCUAUGUUGGCCGGGCGACGGUUGUCCCGGUUUAAGCGUGUAGGUGUGUGUUCCAGGUAAAUCCGGUUCACUUUAACACUGAGGCGUGACGACGAGGCACUACGGUGCUGAAGCAACAAAUGCCCUGCUUCCAGGAAAAGCCUCUAAGCAUCAGGUAACAUCAAAUCGUACCCCAAACCGACACAGGUGGUCAGGUAGAGAAUACCAAGGCGCUUGAGAGAACUCGGGUGAAGGAACUAGGCAAAAUGGUGCCGUAACU